rnacentral:rRNA from 1 species
GCUCAGAUUGAACGCUGGCGGUAUGCUUAACACAUGCAAGUCGAACGGAAACGAUACUAGCUUGCUAGUAGGCGUCGAGUGGCGGACGGGUGAGUAACGCGUAGGAAUCUGCCUGAUAGUGGGGGAUAGCCCGAAGAAAUUCGGAUUAAUACCGCAUAAUCUAUUCGUAGUAAAGUGGGGGACUUUUAAGCCUCACGCUAUCAGAUGAGCCUGCGUAAGAUUAGCUAGUUGGUAGGGUAAAAGCCUACCAAGGCAACGAUCUUUAGCUGGUCUGAGAGGAUGAUCAGCCACAUCGGGACUGAGACACGGCCCGAACUCCUACGGGAGGCAGCAGUGGGGAAUAUUGGACAAUGGGGGCAACCCUGAUCCAGCAAUACCGCGUGUGUGAAGAAGGCCUGAGGGUUGUAAAGCACUUUCAAUUGUGAAGAAAAGUUAACGGUUAAUAACCGUUAGCCUUGACGUUAACUUUAGAAGAAGCACCGGCUAACUCCGUGCCAGCAGCCGCGGUAAUACGGAGGGUGCAAGCGUUAAUCGGAAUUACUGGGCGUAAAGCGUGCGUAGGCGGUUUAUUAAGUCAGAUGUGAAAGCCCCGGGCUUAACCUGGGAACUGCAUUUGAAACUGGUCAACUAGAGUAUGGUAGAGGAAGGUGGAAUUUCUGGUGUAGCG